CCCCCCUGUAGUGAGCAAGAACAUCUUCAACCAGACCAGGUUGCCCAGAACCACAUCCAGCCUGGCUUGGAAUGUCUCCAGGCAUGCAGCACCUCUGGGGCAAC